rnacentral:rRNA from 1 species
CCUACGGGUGGCAGCAGUGAGGAAUAUUGGUCAAUGGGCGGGAGCCUGAACCAGCCAAGUCGCGUGAGGGAAGACGGUCCUAUGGAUUGUAAACCUCUUUAGGCGGGGAGCAAUGCCGGGCACGCGUGCCCGGAGGGAGAGUACCCGCAGAAUAAGCAUCGGCUAACUCCGUGCCAGCAGCCGCGGUAAUACGGAGGAUGCGAGCGUUAUCCGGAUUUAUUGGGUUUAAAGGGUGCGUAGGCCGGUCUUUAAGCGUGCCGUGAAAUUUUGUGGCUCAACCAUGAGAGUGCGGCGCGAACUGGAGACCGUGAGUGCGCGGAAGGCAGGCGGAAUUCGUGGUGUAGCGGUGAAAUGCUUAGAUAUCACGAAGAACCCCGAUUGCGAAGGCAGCCUGCCGCAGCGUUACUGACGCUGAAGCUCGAAAGCGCGGGUAUCGAACAGGAUUAGAUACCCUUGUAGUC